UUUGGCGCCGUGGGAGCGGUCUGCAGAGAUGCCGCCGAACUGUUUUUGGGUGUAUCCGCCAUUGUGUUCAGAAAUAUUGACCAGCCAGAGAUAUUGGAAAGCCUUGCCAUUCGAGAGUCUCUAGCCCUUGCAGACGAUCUAUACAUCCAAAAAAUUCAAGUCGCCUCUGACUGCAAGUCAGCGGUUGAAGCUAUCCAGCGAGGAACAUCUUCGGCUUAUGGAGCUGUGGUGCAGGAGAUCAAGGAGCAUUCUAGCAGUUUUAUUUUCUGUUUAUUUAGACAUGAGUUUAGAACCUCGAAUGUCGAGGCACACAAACUAGCAAAGCACGCCUUAACUCUCGGGACCGGUCGCUAUGUUUGGUUAGGCCACCCGGGAGAACUUUCUUUCGUCCCUGUAAGCGUGACGGGUCAAUAG
rnacentral:rRNA from 1 species